AACCAUUUGGCCACUGUCCAUGUUUCCCGCACGGACCUUUCUGGCAGACGGACGCACUGUUGCACCCACAAUGGACCAGUGAAAAACAAAACAAUAGAAGAGCGUCUGUGUGCCUAAUGAUGUGGCCCCACACUCUCGUGUGAAGGAGAGUUCUCCAGACCUCGCCACCUGCAGCUCACGUGCAGACAGCUGGCGACAGCUCAGCCGGCACUUCUCUCAUUCAAGCCAAAGAAUCCCUGGAGGCGCUUGGCUGCAUUACAGCAUCCUCAUUACAGUUCGUCUCUCGCCGAGCUUGCGGCAUCACAGCUCAUUGGGCCGGUAAAAGUCUUCAGGUUGUUUCAUAUGGUUUUUGUAACCUUUCGGAUUUUGGGCCUGCCUCCUCCACAUCUUCUGCCUCGCCGCUUCCAUUUGCCUCUAAAAAUAUUCUCCCGUCAACAGAGCUGCAUUAAAGUAGUUAGAUCAUUGUGGACGUAUUCUGCAGUUUAGCACAAAGGAGACAUGCAUGCAUUACAGGAGAAGAGCCCUGGUGAGAGGCAGCAACACGACACUUACAAAAGCCUCCGCAUCUUCUUUUUUUUCUUCUUUUUUUGGGCUCUGUAUCCGCAUGGAAUAACAAAGGCGCUCAAGCUUAUGUCACCGGCAAUGAGUGUGUACGGAGCCGCUUUCAAACUGUCCAAACUGUUUUUCCGCAUGAGAUGAUGAAGCUAAACCGGAUGGCCCCCAAUUCCCACGUCUCCACUUGUAAAAGAUGCACGGUAAUUUGGGAGAACGUUUGUAACCCAAGGGUAGCACCGUGGGGUAAUGGUUAGCACGUCGGCCUCACAAUUGAGACAUCCUGCACUUGAAUCCCAGUUUCAGCCUUCAUAUGUGGAGCUUGCAUGUUUUUUUUCUGGGUAUAUGCCAUAUGUCUAAAGGUGUGAAUGUGAGUGUCAAUGAUUGCUUGUCUAUACAGUAUGUGCCAUAUGCAAUUGACAUCAUUUUAGGUUCAUUGAAGAUGUAAAUUGUCCAUAGGUGUCAAAGUGAGUGUGAAUGGUUGUUUGUUUAAAAAGUCAACUGGGAGAGGCUCCAGCUAUCCCGCAACCCUAAUGAGGACACGCACUAUAGAAAAUGGAUGGCUGCAUGGAUUUUUGACUCAGCACCACAAUGGCUGGAAUUCCCCAGCUGUGUUGGCAUGAUGGCAUUUGGAAGCGAUGAUGGACAGAUUAUUGCGGCUUCCCCUGCGAGCUCAGAAGACGCCUCCAACCGGGGCGUCAGCAGGAGAGAACGGGUUGCAUCUGCAGAUGUUGGCACACCUUAUUUAUUUAUUCAUAAAGUGUGCACAUUGUGCGCUACUGGCUCACAGGGCCCGUGUUGAAAGGUCAAAACGCGGGCUAAUUGGGGAAAGAUGCACAGAUUAACAGGAAUUGGGGCUCGACUGGAGCCACACAUUGACUAAAGGGAUCUUUAAUUGAGUCCAGAUGGAGCCAAAGGAAAAUGGAACCUGUUGGAACAAAUGGACCAACCUCUUAGAGCCAAUUACUGUUGGUGCAACGACACAUGGGAAAUACGUAACAGAGAAAAGCUGCUUGGAAAAGGUCAGGCACCUUGUAUUUAAUACAGACCAGAAAAAUCCAUCCCUUUUAUACAGUGCUUGUCCUCAUUAAGGUCGCAGGUGAGAACUUGGUUUGUCAUUCAUACAGUCCUGUCGGCGUGUUUUUUUUUUUUUGGUCCGUUUUGUCAUUUGCUAAUGGGGCAGCCGGUGCUUGAGCCAUGUGAACUCUACCUAGCAACAAAACAUUUUGGUCGAAUUGUAUUCAAAUUAUUGACGUUCCACUGUACAGUAAUCCCUUGCUAUGGGACCAAGCACUGCCUUGAAUCGCCAAAAAAUGUGAGCGAGAUAUUGACAUCCCCCUCAAAGUUUUGAUAAUUCCCUAUAUUAAACAGCUUAAACCAUAAAUAUACCACAACCUUUGAUCCCAAUUAAGUUUAAUAUCAUUUAGAACUCAUCAUUUUACAACAUUACUCUUGCAAAUAAAUGGUUUACAGAUUAUUUGAUUUAAAAUAAAAUGCAGCAGAAGUGGGUGUGCACAGGUGGCAAAGACUCUGCGGAACAUCCACUAACCAUCCAGGCCAAAUUUAGCUCCUUCCUGACACAAAGCUUGUCUCUCAGUCGAGAUGUAUCACUUCAAAUAUACUUCACUGACAGUGCUUUCCUACACAGACAGGCCUUUUGUGGCAUUUUGUAGCAUCCUAGGGCUUUUCAGAAAGAGCGCAAAAAAGCAAAUAAGUGAGGAGCGGUUCCACAGAAAAAGAUGAUAAUAGGUAAAUUUGUGACUAGUGAACUGCUAAAGCGCAAAAGAUGACUUGUAGUUUCAGGUAAUUGAGUCAUAUUGUCCACUAGUGAUGUGCAAUAUGGACUUUGGAAGUUCUGUAUCUUGAUAUACUGUAGGUCAUUUCAUAUCCCGAAAACGAUAUAUAUCCCAAUAUAGUAUUUUUCCUUAAAAUGACAUGAAAGUAAUAGCAAAUAUUUGAGAUCUUUUCUCUGUUUAUUUAAAAAACACAUACUGUAUAUAGAAAAACCAUUCAAUGGAUAAAAGAUAAAUAAAAAUACAUACUUUCCAGUGGGAAAAAUACCAUUCAAAAUACUGUAUCUGGUAGUACAACCAGUUUUCAAGGAAUGUGCACUGUUGUUGUGUACAUUGUAAUGUACAAUGUUGCCUACAUCCAUGCUCCUAUAGCAGUGCUGUAAACGAGUAUUUGUGCGUGAUGUAGUAGCAUUAUUGCAGUUACAGUACAUUACCCUUCAUUCAUUUUUCACACAAUGUUAGUGCGGCAUCCGAGGUGUCGGGUCACUUUUGUCACACGGAAACUCACAAACGGUGGCCAUCCAACGCAGUCCUGGCCGAGGCUCAAACCCACGUUAAGGGUGUCUCCCUGGCGUGCUAAACACCAACUGCCACUACUCGAAAGGCUCACGAGGAGUGAGGUUAGACUAAUGUACGUACUUUUGCACAGCGCGAGCUGGCAUCUGUUACACAUGCACACUGCAGAGACUCCGUUUAUUGAACUCAGCUCACAAGAGACCAGCAUAAAAGCCUAUUCACACUGCACUUGGCAAACUGUCUAACGCCCUGGAUUUUCCCAUUCAUUGUGUGUGUGGAGAGGGCGCGUCAGCACAUUUUGACAUGACGCCCAGCGUCGCGUCAACGAGGAGGGCAUCUGACGCCCAGCGUCGCGUCAUCGGAUGGAAAAAUCUUCUAUUUUGGAGCUUUGGCGCAGUGACGUCAAAAAGCUCCUCCAAUGGGAGAGAGGCCGGCAGCGUGAUUUCUGAGUGUUAUUUUGGCACAGUUGUACUGUAAACGUCAAGGGGGAAAUGGAGGAAGGCGUAAUGUUUGCAGUGUCCCACUAUCCCGAACUUUUGGCUAAUAGGAAAAUGAUAUUCUGAGAGAUCUCACCAGGAGGCUUUCAAACUCCCUUUCAAAGCUCCCUGCUCAGACUGAACUACACCCGAAGCGCUCAUACUGGAACAAGAAAGCUCACAAACAAGUUGAACUGGGAGAUACUGCCGUGAAAUUCCCGUUCCCUUUUUAAAUUUGUUUUAAUUUUUGCUGCUGAGUCAUCUCCUCCUCCUUAAAAUAAGUAACGUUAGGGCUUUGUUUCUCAACAAUGACAAAUACAUAUUGCCAGGUUGCGGUCCACUCAGCAGGGAACGCCUCCCGAUUUCCU